rnacentral:tRNA from 1 species
GAGGGUAUAGGUCAGUGGUAGAGCGCAUGCUUAGCAUGCAAGAGGUCCUGGGUUCAAUCCCUGGUACCUCCA